rnacentral:lncRNA from 1 species
UGAAAAAUGCCUGAGUUGGAGUUAGCUAAAUGGAGGUGUGGUUGAGUGAGAGGGGCCAUGAUUAGCAAAAGAAAGAGCUUGAGCCAAGAGGUGAAAGCAAGAAAGUGUAUCCUGAAGGACAUAGAAGGGACAAGAGGCAGGAAGGCUUUCUCUGGUAUCCUAAAGAGUUUGGGCUUGACCCUGGAUGGAGAACUGCUAGGAGAAUUUGGGUAAGGCAAAGACACAACUAUUACAUUUUAGAAAAAAAUGAUACCACUGGCAAUACAGAAAAUGUAUCAAAGUUGAAGCCACUGGGUACAUCAUGGUUCAAGUCGCUGAGAAUGAGAACUGAUAGAGACCUAAGGGGGUGGCAAGUAGAGGGGAAUUCAUGAUGAACUCAGUUUGGAAUAUGUUGAAUUCACAUAUUCAGAGAAAUGUUUAGGGUAGUGGGGAAGACAAGAUUUGGGCAUAAGAGAGAGAAGAAAAAUUUGAGAGGUUGAGAUUGUGCAGUGCUUUAUCAUAGCAUGUAUGAUCUCUUGACACAUUCUUUAUUUCAUGUCUUCCCUGACUAGAAAUAAACUUCACGAGGGUGAGAACUUUGCUUUAUUUCCACCAUCUAGAACUGUGCCUGAACCACAGGGAGCACUCAGGAAAAAUUUACUGAAAAGAUGAAUUAUUCAGAAUUGUAGUUGAAAAGGUGUCUUCAGAGGAGUUUACUUACAUGCAGUGGACAUGAAAUAGGGCAUAGAGUGAAACCGUAGGCAAAACAUUGGGUGGAUAAUGUCAUUUGAUGCCAAAAAAGAAGCACUGAGGAAUUAGGAAAAACAAGAGAUAAUGAGGUCCCAGGUGACAAUGGAAGCAGUUGUGGAAAACUGCUUUAAAUGUCAUAGAGCACUCAGAAGGAAUUCAUAAAUGACCUCAUAAAGAAGUCCACUGUGGUUUCCCUGCAGAGGUGGGAAUAGAAUCAGAGUGCUAAGGAUUGAGGGAUUAAGAGGAGGUGAUUGUAUUAUUCCUCUUUUCAGAUAAUGGAGAGAGAGAAGAGAACAGCAGUAGCCGUUGCCAGAAAUAUUGAUCAUGUGGUGUUAGCACGGAGAUGAGAAAGAGAGAAAGACAACAUCAUGCUUUGCUGUCUGUGUGUGAACUGAGUAACAGCUGUGAAGGAUCAGUCACCAAAAGACUUUGAAAGAAGAGGCUUGAUUGGUCACGGUAAUGAUGCUCCCCUGGCCAUGGAAGUUUAAUUGGGAGAAAAGAACAUCUGCUUAUACGAAAACAUAUUAUAUUCAGCCAUCCCUGCCCUGACUUUGGCCUUUAAAAACAGUGGCAUUAAUUAUCUCAACAAAUGAAUCUUCGGGAUAAAAAUAAUCUAAAUAUUAUUUUACGCUUACUACAUAUUUGCAACGUGCUAAGCUCUUUAUGGUUGCUACCACAAAAAACAUUUAUAAUAUGAGGUGGGUAUUUUUAUUAUAUACAUUUUCAGUUUAAAGACAGUAACUUCAGAAUGUAACUUGUCCUAGUCACACAAAAGCAGGUGUGGACUAAAACUCAAACCCAUGAUUCUUUCACUUUAAAUGAUAUGGUUCUGAACCAUUAAAUUCGAAUGCUACUAAGAAUGGUGAAUGCUAAGCAAUGUUAAGCUACACAUUGUUAUUAUUAACAAAUAAUUUCAAAAGGGCAGGAGAGGUAGGUUAAAAAUUAAAGGGUUAAGCUGGAAUAACAUGUCAAAUUUCUCAGAGUUUUUUAUUUUCAUGAAAAAAUAUAUUUUAUAUUGCAACAGAAUGAACUUGACUUAACAGUUUAGGUAGCUGAUUGCAUAUAUUUUGAUAGUCCUAUCAUAUUUCCAACAAAUACAUUUUCUCCCCACCCCACCUGCAACUGGAGACUUCACAAGGUUAGGAACAGGCUUCACUUCAUUGUGAUGUGUGUAAGGUGACAGAGGACAUAUAACGAAUACGUGGAAGAACUAGGAAUUUGACCUUAGCUUCCAGACAUUUUGAGGAGGAUACACUAUGUCCAUCUUGCUUUCCUAUCAAGAAAAGUAUACCCAGUUUGUGCAGUAGCCCUGUACCAACAGAUACAUUACAGCAGGUUGUUUCCGUAUUUUGGCUAUUGUGAAUAGUGCUGCAAUAAACAUGGAAGUGCUGAUAUAUCUUUGAGAUCUUGACUUCAAACAAAAGAAGAAAAUCUUGCAAUAUAUGACAACACGGAUUAACCUGGAGGACAUUGUGCUUAGUGAAGUUAGCCAGUCACAGACUGACAAGUACUGCACGAUUCCACUUAUGAAGACUACAGUUCCUAUCUUCACAGGUGGCUGUUAGCUCUAAAUGAACUCAUUUAUUUUGAAAGCAUGAUUUAAAGUAUAGUUUUAAACUAUAAGCAUUUCAGAAGUGAUGACCCAUGACUCAAAUCUCAAAAAUAAAUGCUACAGUUCACAGUUGGAAUAUGGACACAAGAAAAAUAAUAGGUGAGUAAAAAAAGAAUUUUUACCACAGAACAAAAGUUUAUUAAACACAAUUAUGAAUGAAUAUUAAUGUCAACAGAGUGCUUUUUAGAUGCCUCCUAAGCUUUGUAUGCACCUAAAAGAGAUACAAGUCAGCUCAGCUGCUAAGGAAUAGGCAGACCAGAAUGCAGUCAGAGAAAUAAACAGUUGAACAGAUAAUUCCAAAAGGAUGUGAUAAGUGUUAUGGGGGGAAUUCGGAGAAAGUGCCGAGGCAUCACACAGGAGAGACCAGCUGUCCCUGGCAUAGCUGGUGGAGAUCUUAUUAAACAACGAUACUAAGGCUGACUCUUGACUAUGAAACGAAUUUCACAGAGAAACAAGCAAAAAAGCAAUAGAAAUAUUAAUUUGUGUACCCUAUUUCAUGACAAUUAUAUACAAAAACAGAACGUUCAAAGCCUUAGGCAAUAAAACUGAUAUUUCUUGCAACAGGCUUUGGCCAAAAAAGAGUGCAGUUCUGUGAUGAAUAUCAGCUUCAUCAACAUGCCCCAGGCACCGUGAUGUCCCUCCUCUGCUCUGCUGCAUAACAGGGUGGAGACCAAAUCCAACAGUAUGAACAAGCAUCCAUCAAAACCACAGUUCUAUUAUUGAGACCAUUUCUGAUUGAAUUUCCUCAGCAGACUAUCCAAGUCGUCAUGUUCAUCAAGGUAUUCAAUUUAAAUGACCAUUAAAACGAAAUUAAGUUGGUAUUAACCUUGUCUUUUCAGAUGAUGCCACUGAAAGGUAAACAUACCAUUCUGACAUGCAUGAAAAUGAAACGACAAAUUGAUACACGCAGUGCUUGGAAUGGAUGGAGUCCUUCUAAUGAGUGAUUACCUGUGGUAUAACUAUAUUGAUUGUGUUUGUACAUGUCAAAUGGGGCUGGCGAGGAUGAACUUGAAGAAAUCAAUCUUGGAACCUGCUAGGACAGCAGCCUCCUGGUUUCACAGUACUAAAUCAUGACUUCAAAAUUUUGAAGUAAAAGAAAACUGCAAAACUUUGUAAAGGUACCAGUCUCUUCCUGACACUAUUUGCCUUGGCAAAAGAUUCACUGUCAACUUAAAAGACUAACAUGUGCUCAGAUGAUGAUUUGUGGAGGACAGAUAAUUAUGAGUACAUUUAGAAAUACACACUCUUCCAAACCCUGCUCUUUCCAUAUAAUGAAGUUAUUUAUUUCUAUUUUUUAUUUAUUUUUCUAAUAAUUACAAACAUACUUUGGAGACCCACAUUCCUGUAUUAUUCUUUCAACAUACUGAAGAAGAGUUAUUUCUAUGCUUCUUUCUAUGUGUUGGGCUUAAGAUUUAUUAGAAGGAAUGUGUAAAAACAAAGGCAGCAAAGUUUCUAUUUUUAUUGGGAGUCACUCCCGGAGUAAGUGGGGAUAGUUGUGCACACACACACACACACAUUCAUGCACAAAGAAAGAGUGAUCAAGUGUAUAACACACUUUUAGCAGUGUUUUGCUGGAAGAAUAAAGUAUAACUCCUUGUCCGCCCUUUUAUUAUACUGGGGUUCACACUAAGAGAGUCUGAGGACCUGUGGAACUCCCAUUUGCAUGAAAUAACUUUUGCAUCUAUUCUGGAGGAAAACUUCCUAAGGCAGAUUUGGACAGAAAAUUGCUAUCAGCGCAAAUAAAACAAUGCAAAGCCUACUCCGGGGAACGUUGCUCUGCCACCACUACUGAAAUGGGUCAUCCCCUUGGUUUCUGAAUAAAGAAUUAUGAAACCUGGGGCUAGAAUGCUCAGGGAGGAAUUUACCAAUCCAAAUCUUCCCCUUAUGGUAGAGAACAAACUUUCAAGGUUUGUUCUCCACUGUAAGUGUGCGAGGGCUGUUAGGGACCGUAAUAUGGCUGCCGGAGACUGGUGUGUGUACCUCCUUGACUGUACGUCUCAUUUCCAGUUAUGAUUUUACAAUCAUCUCUUUCUCAACCUUUGCUUUUAAAUAUAGGAAGGUACGGCUCACCAUGGAGCGGACAUUUUCUUCAGGAGCGGUACGGUGUCUAAGAUAUGCAGAGGUUGUAUUCUAGUCCUAUAACUCAAUUCUCAAACACAUGGCUUUUAGCCAGGGAUAUCCUAAAGGAAAAUUACACUAUAUGCAACCCCUCCUUACUCCUCAAAUAUUAUCUAUAUUAAACACAGCUGAAAUUUGAGAGUGUCCUUACAGGUGAAAAUUUAACAAUUUAACAAAAGGACACUGCUGAAUGUGUGGGGACAAAGGAAGGAUGAAUCUUUCAUCAUGACAAAAGACUACUUGCCACAUUCUCCCUUAACUUAGAAAAACAGAAAAGAGGCUGGGCGUGGUGGCUCCUGCCUGUAACCUCAGCACUUUGGGAG